UCUUCUUAACUGAUAGAUCAAUAGACCUAUAUAAUUUUUUAAAAACCCUACUAUUGUGAGUGCCAACUUCAUACCCUGUACUCCAAACUUCACGUUAAUUAUCUAGUUUAAUCUCCACAACUCUUUGAGGUAGGUGUUAGUAUUCUCAUUUAAAAAAAAAAACUGAGAAAACAAAGCUCAAAGAGGUUAAGUGUUUUUCUCAAAGUCAUUCAGCUGGAAAGUGAUGAUGUGAAGAUUUCAUCUGAAAGAUCUGUUUGCUGCCAAAGUCCAUGAUCUUUCCUUCACACUUUGUGGACUUCAUUAAGAAAAAGUCUUCUCUUGUUUUCAGAUAUUCUAAACUUACCACUCAUCAGGAGAUGGUCCCUAGCCUUGCCUGACGAUGGUAAGGUCUCCUGGAGGGGCUCUCCAUACCCGUGUUCUACUUGCCUAAAUUUGCUACUUUUCACAUAUUUUACCAUUGGUGGCCAUGAGAAGUGCCAAGGUCAGCAGAAACACGAGUUCAAGGGUUCUCUUGACAUCUUCUAUGCUGUUAAUUAUCUUCUGAAUAGGAACUUUUAA
rnacentral:lncRNA from 12 species